CUCUGUGGUCAUGCUCACAAUCACCUGUGUUGUUUUCAGGGCUGCCCUUUCUGUGACAUGCUGGCUACGGCAGCGUUCUGCAGUCAUAAACUCACUGGGGUGCUCCAGCUUUGGGCAUCAUCAGAACAGCACAGCACUAGGUCAGAACUGACAUGUUCCAAACAUUCCUCCUGCCCAGUGUCAAGUCCUUCUAUUGAGCAGGACUUUUUAAGGACAAAUUUCAAACACGGGUAUAACACAGGAAAAUAUUUUAAGAGAGAAGUGGGGCAUAUACACUGUAGAAAGAGGAAAGAAAAAGACUGAGAGGACAUUGAAAAAUUAACUUCCUCAAAAGGUACUUCAUAAGUUCAAAAGCUCAAGGCAAAACAUUCCUGGGAGAGAUUCACCAAGUGGGAGGAAGAAAGAGCAAAAUGCAGACACAGCUGAUCCUCAGUGAAUUGAAGCUUCCCCCAAAGGCUGUCACAAACAGGGACAUACACAUUUAGCUUUGCUGCUUGGCAUUCUUCUUCCUUAUGCAUCAUAUACUAAUUACCUCACCAGUCUGCCUGCAACAUUUGAUUUGGCAUUUUUCCUGCUUCUUUCUUGUAAAUUUACAUCAGAGAAGAGAUAGAGUGAAAUUGUUAAUGAAAAUGUAUCCACAGGUGUUUUUCCAAAGGAAGGGAGCAGGACUAGCGUGUGAAACAGAUACCGCUUUUAGAUUUCCUUUUACCACAUUAUCAUUUAGUUCUGAACCCCACUAAUUUGCAUAGGCAAGAGGAUAAAAGCAGCAACAAACAUCUCAGCUGGUUCUGAAUUUUCCCCCACAGAUAGAGAUAUAUAUCUGCUGUUCCUUUCUCUGUGUGAUUCUCUGAGGAAACAGACAGCAUGGUGUUUGCUCGCCGCUCUUGGUUCUUCACAGUGGCAUCCCAGAAAGAGGAUUCCCCAAUGAACCAAGGCACAGUGGGUGGGAUUUCUUUGCGAAAACUUCUCUAGUGCCGAGCUGUUGUAUAGAAAGAGGGACUUAGCAGUAAAGGAAUGAGAUUAAUCAGUGAUGGACACAAUGGAGCUGGGUUAAAGUUUGGCCUCUACAAUCUUAGUCCCUUUCCUUAAUGACACAGCCUUAAUGAUGCUGUGAUUCUGUGAAUUGUGGCCUUACACUAUUUGAUGUUUGGGCUGAUUUUUGUGUGAUGGAGUCCCCCACAUAAUGACCACUGCAUGCUGGAGCAAUGAGGAGAAGCCAAGAGCAACCAACAGCUGAGAGGAAACAAAGGGGUUAUCACACCAAGUUGGAAGGGACCCACAAGGAUCAUUGAGUCCAGCUCACAGCCCUGUGCCUGAGAGUGUUGUCCAAAUGUUCCUGGAUCGCUGGCAGCACUGGGGCUGUGACCAUUACAUGGAGAGCCUGUUCGAUGCCCCAACACCUUCAUGGUGAGGAACCUUUCCCUGAUAUGCAACCCUUUGAUUUUUAUGUAGGUACCUGUCUUAUCCCACAUCUAAAGCAAAUUAGUAGUUCAAUGAAUGGGAGACACCCUACAGCAGUAAGAUGGAUAUGAACAGAGAAGGAUGCAUGAGAAGGUCAGCUCUAAGCUGAUGUGCUGCUUGGGAAAAAGGUGCAUUUUUUUCCUCACUGAGUUAGGAGGCACCUUUUUACCAGGCAGUGGCAACACACAGGACAACACCUAAAUAGAAAAUAAAUAUUUUUAUUUUUUAUUUAGUAAACAUAGCAACAGGGAUGGGUGGCUGUUCAGUGAUCACUCACUGAUGUGAGCUCACCAGUCUGUCUAAAGUGCCCUGCUUUUGAAAGCUCAGUGUAUGAAUGUGCAUAGUUGGAAAAAGAAAUUUCUUUGGUCUUUAAAUUUUUUGUUUUUAUUUUGUCCUUAGCUCAAUGUACAGACAUUCAAAAUUCAGUGCUCCAUUAGUAAUUUCUCCAAUUUUCUAUUUGGAAGGUUAUUUUUUUGCUUUCUGACCAAAAGAUUUUAUUUUUGUUUACCUGCCACAAUUUGCUACUUAUGACUACUCCAAAACUUUUC